GGUCAGAUGGCCGAGUGGUCUAAGGCGCCGGUCUCAAGGAAACCAUUAGACUCCUUCCUCGCGUUGCAGAGGGUUCCGGUCAUUAAUUUGGCGCGGGUUCAAAUCCCGCUCUGAUCA
rfam:Rhodotorula graminis WP1 unplaced genomic scaffold RHOBAscaffold_19, whole genome shotgun sequence.